UACGUAGGGGGCUAGCGUUGUCCGGAAUCAUUGGGCGUAAAGAGCGUGUAGGCGGUCCGGUAAGUCCGCUGUGAAAGUCGGGGGCUCAACCCUCGAAUGCCGGUGGACUACUGUCGGGCUAGAGUGCGGGAAGGAGGAGAGUGGAAUUCCGUGGUGUAGCGGUGGAAAUGCGCAGAUAUCAGGAAGAACACCCGUGGCGGAAGGCGGCUCUCUGGAACGCAACUGACGCUGAGACGCGAAAGCGUGGGGAGCAAACAGG
rnacentral:rRNA from 1 species